rnacentral:lncRNA from 1 species
GGGGGGGGGACAUAUGCUUUCCUGUCGAUGUUGAAAUGACAAGAAUUGGUUCCCGUUUGAUUUUUGGUUGUUAGAGUUGACAAAACUAAAAACAGGCAGAACGCAUUUCCUUUCAAUUCAACACCGACAGGACAGAAUAUGUGUCAUUUCAACUCAGAAAUAACAAUAACUCUACCAAACCAAAAACAACCAGGAGACCAUUCCUGUCGAUUCAACUC